UACGUAGGGGGCUAGCGUUGUCCGGAAUCAUUGGGCGUAAAGCGCGUGUAGGCGGUCCGGUAAGUCCGCUGUGAAAGUCGGGGGCUCAACCCUCGAAUGCCGGUGGAUACUGUCGGGCUAGAGUGCGGAAGAGGCGAGUGGAAUUCCUGGUGUAGCGGUGAAAUGCGCAGAUAUCGGAAGGAACAUCAGCGGCGAAAGCGGCUUCCUGGACCAGUACCGACGUUCAGGCACGAAAGCGUGGGGAGCAAACAGG
rnacentral:rRNA from 1 species